UUAACUUUCUUACCACAAUAAUCAUCUUUUCCCCAAAUAUACCAAAAUACUCAUGUUUUAAACAAAAUAAUUUUGCAACAAAGAAAAGAUGCCACACAUAUGUGCGUAUGCACUCAAAAAUACACCUAGACGACACACACACACUUGUUACGCCUUCACCACUAAUGCGCCAAACCCAUUGGCAUCUAUGAGCAACUGCUAUACGCAUGCACCAAU
rnacentral:lncRNA from 1 species